UGUCAAAGUAGAUUUCCUUGAUGUCUUUUUUUUGCUGCUUUCUAGGAAUAGUGUUUAAGAUCAAGAAGUGCUGUGCAUUGGAUGACACAAGACAUAUAUAAGCCUAAAAUGUCACUUGUCCAUGAUUUUUCAUAGCUCUGUUUUAAUAGUAUACUUGUUCCAUCUAUCCCUUUUCUUCAUAAAUCAGAGUAAUUGCCUUUUCUACAUUAUUAUUAACUCUUUUCCUGAAAUUUAUAUGGCAGGAAAUUUUCAACUGUAAAGAAAGCUCUCUUGUCUGUUUCAAGUUGUCUCCAAGAGCACACCAAAGCUGACAUGUUUGAAGUACCAUGGUUGUACUUUUGAAGUGGUGAAAGUAUGACUGACAAGCUAAGGUUCUUUCUGAUCCAAUUCGAUCCCAAUUCUCUUGAUUUUGUUAUAGACUAAAUCAUCAGGCUUCUAUUUCUGAUUUAACAAGGCUAAUAAAUAAAGAUGAAAGCUUAAAAUUUGAUUAAUAAUGGCUAAUAACGUUACAAAGGGAUAGGUUAAUAGCUCUAGGUCAUCACUCUCUUUGAUAAUAUUAGGGUAUUACUCUCUUAGUAACUUGAGGUUACCAUUCUCUCAACAAUUUUCCUCACAAUUCACAUAAUUUCUACUGGCUUCUUACUACUACUUAUAUACUCAAGCUACCAAUUACAAAAGGUUAACCUAACAUUAAUUGGUGUUUGUCUUCUUCUGCACAUUAGCAAUUCAUAAAUCACACCCAUGUUGCCACUUUCUUAAGUGUUUCCUUAAUGUCCCUUGUCUUCAUGUGCUGAAGAGUAGCGGUUGCCAACUGCUGUGGUUGAUUCUUGUCCCCUCUUCCACUUUACUUCCUUGUGUACACCCACAAUGGUGGCUUGGUGGAGACUACAGGUGUGAGGAUUGUAAUCAUUUUCUGGAAUUUGGAGAUAGCUGAAGCUAUUAGAAAGCUUGGGCCUGAGGCCUGACUAUUCUUAGAGGCACGGCGGACAAUCACAGAGACAAAAAUAUGAAUGUAUUUUGUGGUUAAGAAAUUGAGCUGUAUAGACCUUGAUUGGGUACAAUUUGGUGUUACCUUUGAAGAUAUCAAACCCAAAUCAGCAACACAUCAUCGACAACCACAACAAUGGAAAGAGGACAAAGCAACGGUGGCUGACCCGUGGGCGCGAUCAGGAGGAGCUGCAACAACGUCUAAGAAAAAGACGGAACAAGGACAGUGAAUAUGAAAGCAAGAAAUACAACACCUUAAAUUAAAUAAGCUCCUGUUUGAAGGAAUAUCGCUGAAUAUGGGUAUUAUUGCUGCUAGUUUUUUGAAGCUUGUUUGUGAUUACUCGCUGUAUGAGACUAGAGUAUUCAAUACCCACUUGAAAAAGAUGCUACAUUAUGCUGUUACAUGGAGCUGCCCACCUGAGGGUAUUAUUAAAAUAAAUGUUGACGCUCACUUUGGUGCUGGCACAAGUGGUGGUCCAGGUGCUGUUGCGAGGGAUCACUUUGGCCGCAUAUUAUGGGCUGCGGAUAAUAAGACUCCUAUGGACUGGAAUGUGGAAUUGGCGGAGGUGGCUGCUGUUAGGGUGUCAAAUGGCUAAGAGAUUGGGUUACGAAAGUGUAUGAUCAUGAGUCAAAAGGGAGUAGGGGACGCAUUGAGGGUAAUCAACACCAUUAGAGGGUCUGCUGCUGGAUGGUCUCCUAUAAGGCUUAUUUACGAUGAUGUACGUAGAAUAGUUAUGUCUUUUAAUGCUUGUAUGUUUUCUCAUGUAAAAAGAGCAUAUAAUUAAUAAUACGGUUGCCCAUUUAGUGGCUAGGUGGGACACUAGUAAUUGCUCCGAGAAAGUUUGUAUGGGUUCUUUCCCCAAGGUCUUCUAUCCUUCACAGAACUUGACUUAAAUUAAUGAAAUGCUCUAAGUCAGUGCUUGGUA